AUUGAACGCUGGCGGCAGGCCUAACACAUGCAAGUCGAACGAGCGGCGGACGGGUGAGUAAUGUAUGGGAAUCUGCCUGAUGGCGGGGGAUAACUACUGGAAACGGUAGCUAAUACCGCAUACCAUCGGAUGAACCCAUAGGGGAUUAGCUAGUAGGUGGGGUAACGGCUACCCUAGGCGAAGAUCCCUAGCUGGUCUGAGAGGAUGAUCAGCCACACUGGAACUGAGACACGGCCCAGACUCCUACGGGAGGCAGCAGUGGGGAAUAUUGCACAAUGGGCGCAAGCCUGAUGCAGCCAUGCCGCGUGUAUGAAGAAGGCCUUCGGGUUGUAAAGUACUUUCAGCCGGGAGGCGUUACCGGCAGAAGAAGCACCGGCUAACUCCGUGCCAGCAGCCGCGGUAAUUC
rnacentral:rRNA from 1 species